rnacentral:rRNA from 1 species
UACGUAGGUGGCGAGCGUUGUCCGGAAUCACUGGGCGUAAAGGGCGCGUAGGCGGUUAAUUAAGUCAGGUGUGUAAACCGCAGGCUUAACCUGAGGAUUGCACCUGAUACUGGAUAACUUGAGUGCAGGAGAGGGCAGUGGAAUUCCUAGUGUAUCGGUGAAAUGCGUAGAUAUUAGGAGGAACACCAGUGGCGAAGGCGGCUUUCUGGACAGUAACUGACACUGAGGUACGAAAGUGUGGGGAGCAAACAGGAUUAGAUACCCGCGUA